UACAGAGGUCUCAAGCGUUGUUCGGAUUCAUUGGGCGUAAAGGGUGCGUAGGUGGCGCCGUAAGUGGGGUGUGAAAUCUCGGGGCUUAACUCCGAAACUGCAUUCCAUACUGCGGUGCUUGAGGACUGGAGAGGAGACUGGAAUUCAUGGUGUAGCAGUGAAAUGCGUAGAGAUCAUGAGGAAGACCAGUGGCGAAGGCGGGUCUCUGGGCAGUAACUGACGCUGGAGGAGCGAAAGCGUGGGGAGCGAACAGG
rnacentral:rRNA from 1 species